rnacentral:ncRNA from 2 species
CUCUUAUGCAGAGAGGCGGAGGGACCGGCCCGAUGAUGCCCGGCAACCACCCGAACAGGGCAAGGUGCCAAUUCCGGAGGCGCUGCUGCGCCGGACAUGAGAG